AUGCUCGUUGCUUCCUCUUUGCUGCAGGAUGUAAAGAGCGUAAUAUGGAGACUGAAGACUGACCAGGAUGGCAAUAUUCAAAGCAUUGACGAGCGUGGCGCCAUUCAGAGUAACUAUGAUGGUUUGAAGGAAGUUCUGGAUGCUAGACGCAAGCUCUUUAAGAAAGUGAGAUCAAUGAGCAUUCAAGGAGUUCCAGUCACGCAGCCUUCCGAAAAUGAAACAUACAACAUGGUCGAGAUUGAGCUGGACGGCAAGGUUGUGCUGUGGCUUCUAUUUCGCCAAAGUAACGGUUAUCUGAUCGCAUUCUAUGUUGUUCCAACCAAGGAAAAUCCGGGUGGAUGGUUUCACUUUAAGGAUGUAAACCUUCCCUUUGAUCUGAAAGGGAAUAAGCUAAGUUGGGACAGUGGAUACACGAAGCAAGUGGGGAUAACUCUUGGUCAAGGGAUAACUCUGAACUUACUGGAAUGCCUCCUUGCUUUCACCCCCACCAAUUGUCACUUGAAAAUAUUCACUCCAGAGAACAGCAUUAGUAUUGGAGAUUGGAUAUAUGAUAGAGUUAGAUUGCUGCAGACAUUUAUGAUAUUAUUUGGGGAGUGUCAACGUUCAGGGGUGUUCUUGCAGUUUGCGGAGCAGAACUUUGAGAAUGGGGAUGCAGUCCCGCUUCAUGAAGAGUUGAACGAUCACUUACAUGAUUGGUCUAGCAUGGGCAGAUCAUUCCUUGCUUUAUAUGUUGCCCUGCUGCACAAGUACUAUGAGGUGCACGGAUGGAAUGACAAAUUGAUUAAAGCAGUGCAACAGAUGAAUGGUUCAGUCAAUGCCUUGUCAGCAAAGGAAGGACAUAAUCGCAUCAAAAACUACAUUGUUUAUGAGCAAAAUGAGGAUGGCAACCUAGUUCCCAACUACCCAGCCUCCAUGACAAGGCUCGCGGGAACUGGUACUGAUCAAUUGCUUCACUUGAUCAACUAUGACUCAGACCAUGUCAUUGAUGCACUCAUGACAAUGAUGAAACAUGGUGGUUCUCGCUCGUAUCCCGAGGUCGAUGUCAGGGAAGUUUGA
rnacentral:rRNA from 1 species